CCAUGUUUAGUUCAACUAAAAAGUUGAUUAAAAUUUAAGUCAAAUUCAGUAAUUAAUUUUAACCACAUUCCAUGAGACCUACAAGUUAUCAACCAUACAUUUAUUAACUUUUAUUUAACUUUACUCAAAAUACGCCCAUGUUUGGUACAACUAAAAUUUAUUAAAAAUUUGAUUUGGAUUUUAAUCUCCCAAAUAUGGUCAUAUAAUUUUCUAUCUCAGCCAAACGGGGGCUUAGGUUUUGUUAGAGGGUCAUUCCGAUCAAUAAUAUUUGUAAUCAUAAAAUUUCAUUGAUUUGUACAAAAUGACCAUUCUAAUAUUUUUUUUCUCCACGGUUUAUGAUUUGUUUAUUUGGAACACAUUUUUGAGUGUAUCCAAUUUCCAAAAUUUGUCUUGAUCUUCAAAUUUGAUAUAGACGAACUAAACUCUCUUUAUAACAAAUAAGGACUAUUUGAUGCAAAUAAAAU
rnacentral:lncRNA from 1 species